rnacentral:rRNA from 1 species
GACGAACGCUGGCGGCGUGCCUAAUACAUGCGAGUAGAACGCUGAAGAGAGGAGCUUGCUCUUCUUGGAUGAGUUGCGAACGGGUGAGUAACGCGUAGGUAACCUGCCUUGUAGCGGGGGAUAACUAUUGGAAACGAUAGCUAAUACCGCAUAACAAUGGAUGACACAUGUCAUUUAUUUGAAAGGGGCAAUUGCUCCACUACAAGAUGGACCUGCGUUGUAUUAGCUAGUAGGUGAGGUAAUGGCUCACCUAGGCGACGAUACAUAGCCGACCUGAGAGGGUGAUCGGCCACACUGGGAGUGAGACACGGCCCAGACUCCUACGGGAGGCAGCAGUAGGGAAUCUUCGGCAAUGGGGGCAACCCUGACCGAGCAACGCCGCGUGAGUGAAGAAGGUUUUCGGAUCGUAAAGCUCUGUUGUAAGUCAAGAACGGGUGUGAGAGUGGAAAGUUCACACUGUGACGGUAGCUUACCAGAAAGGGACGGCUAACUACGUG